UGAGAACACCACAGAAUGUACAAUGGAAAUGUACUCCUCAUGAUAUUCCAUUAUGCAGCUGAGGAGUACAUUUUCAUUGUACAUUCUGUGGUGUUCU
rnacentral:pre_miRNA from 1 species